rnacentral:sRNA from 1 species
GCCUGUGAUAGUGCCACAAGAAGUCUGA